rnacentral:rRNA from 1 species
GACGAACGCUGGCGGCGUGCUUAACACAUGCAAGUCGAGCGGUAAGGCCCUUUCGGGGGUACGACGAGCGGCGAACGGGUAGAGUAACAACGUGGGUGGACCUGCCCUCCAGCUCUGGGAGUAAGACCCGGGAAACCGUAGGGUCGUAAUACCGGAUAUGACUCCAUGACGCAUGUUGUGGGGUGGGAAAGACCUUGUGCGGCUGAGGAUGGGCCCGGCCGGCCUAUCAGCUCGUUGGUGGGGUGAUGGCCUACCAAGCGACGACGGGUAGCCGGCCUGAGAGGGCGACCGGCCACACUGGGACUGAGACACGGCCCAGACUCCUACGGGAGGC